rnacentral:rRNA from 1 species
AUUGAACGCUGGCGGCAGGCCUAACACAUGCAAGUCGAGCGGUAGAGAGGUGCUUGCAUCUCUUGAGAGCGGCGGACGGGUGAGUAAUGCCUAGGAAUCUGCCUAGUGGUGGGGGAUAACGUUCGGAAACGGACGCUAAUACCGCAUACGUCCUACGGGAGAAAGCGGGGGGAUCUUCGGACCUCGCGCCAUUAGAUGAGCCUAGGUCGGAUUAGCUAGUUGGUGAGGUAAUGGCUCACCAAGGCGACGAUCCGUAACUGGUCUGAGAGGAUGAUCAGUCACACUGGAACUGAGACACGGUCCAGACUCCUACGGGAGGCAGCAGUGGGGAAUAUUGGACAAUGGGCGAAAGCCUGAUCCAGCCAUGCCGCGUGUGUGAAGAAGGUCUUCGGAUUGUAAAGCACUUUAAGUUGGGAGGAAGGGCAGUAAGUUGAUACCUUGCUGUUUUGACGUUACCAACAGAAUAAGCACCGGCUAACUUCGUGCCAG